rnacentral:lncRNA from 1 species
UGCAAGGGACAGAUGACAAAGGGACAAGAUACCUAAUUCACAUGGAUUCUGAACAGGCCGAGGUUCUGAGGCUGAACACUGGCAAGGCCUGAUUUGCCUUUUAGUGGGACCAUGCCUUGCCAUCCAAGAGAGGAAAAAUGCAGGACAUGAGAGAACAAGACAGAACCAGGUUGUUUCUGCUCUUACCCAAGUGGUUGGGUUAGUUUGAUGGUGAUGAUGUUUUCAGGGUUGGCUGAUGGAUAGGAUGUUGGUUAUAAGCAAGAAAGAAUCAAGCUGAUUCAAGAGUCCUGACCCCAGGAAAAUGAUACUGAUGUUGCUAGGCAGAAAAGGCCUGGGUACCAGUGAACCUCCAGAGCUGUCUUCUACCUAGGAAGCCUCAGGAGCCUAGAGAAGGAAGGAAAAGUACCCAACCCUCAGAAGCCACACAGAUAGGCACCCUUCGACUUGCUGGUAUCGAGAGCAUGCCCUGUCUCUCAGCACAGAGGGAGAGGGCUGGAAGCACUGCUGAAGCCCAAGCUGGGCAGAAGCAGUCAGCAGCAUCGAGGGCUGUGAGCUGCGGCAUCUUCACACUAUAUUUGGGCCCACUUGGUCAUUAUAAACUCAUCUGAUCACUCAGCAAAGUAUACAGCGGGGAGUUUAUUUCUGAGCCUCUCAGAAUACAAGGGAGAGUCUUUACUGCAUGAUCUGAGCAGCACACACAGCUUCCUUUCAAAUGAGGAGGAAGGAAUG